rnacentral:rRNA from 1 species
GACGAACGCUGGCGGCGUACCUAAUACAUGCAAGUAGAACGCUGAAGGAGGAGCUUGCUUCUCUGGAUGAGUUGCGAACGGGUGAGUAACGCGUAGGUAACCUGCCUGGUAGCGGGGGAUAACUAUUGGAAACGAUAGCUAAUACCGCAUAAGAGUAGAUGUUGCAUGACAUUUGCUUAAAAGGUGCAAUUGCAUCACUACCAGAUGGACCUGCGUUGUAUUAGCUAGUUGGUGGGGUAACGGCUCACCAAGGCGACGAUACAUAGCCGACCUGAGAGGGUGAUCGGCCAAACUGGGACUGGGACACGGCCCAGACUCCUACGGGAGGCAGCAGUAGGGAAUCUUCGGCAAUGGACGGAAGUCUGACCGAGCAACGCCGCGUGAGUGAAGAAGGUUUUCGGAUCGUAAAGCUCUGUUGUAAGAGAAGAACGAGUGUGAGAGUGGAAAGUUCACACUGUGACGGUAUCUUACCAGAAAGGGACGGCUAACUACGUG